rnacentral:rRNA from 1 species
UACGGAGGGUGCAAGCGUUAAUCGGAAUUACUGGGCGUAAAGCGUGCGCAGGCGGUUUGUUAAGUCCGUUGUGAAAGCCCCGAGCUCAACUUGGGAAUUGCAGUGGAUACUGGCAGGCUGGAGUACGGUAGAGGAAGGUGGAAUUCCCGGUGUAGAGGUGAAAUUCGUAGAUAUUGGGAAGAACACCGGUGGCGAAGGCGGCGCUCUGGACCGAGACUGACGCUGAGGCGCGAAAGCGUGGGGAGCAAACAGG